rnacentral:lncRNA from 1 species
GGAUAAAAUCAGCCCGGGCCCUUUGUGGAUGAUGGAUAUUUGCCAACUCAUACAGAGCUCUGGAAAUUGGAAAUGAAUAGCAGAGACAUGUUCGAUAACCAAUUCAAAUUGUAUUCAUACGUCAGUUAUAUUUAUACCCCAUUUUCAUAGCAGGAUGGGAGGGGGAAAAAUGAGCAUAUGGGCGUGACAAUGACAUUGUUUUUCACAAGUUAUAAACAGCUGUUUUUAGUUAUAAUUCAAUGUUACAUAAUGUAUGCAUAUUGGAUAAAACCCAGAUGAUUACAAAUACCAAAAUCUUGGACAAUUAACAAGGUCAUUCCAGAAUCCUUAUCAUGUCAUGUCAUGUCAUGUAAAUAUCCUUUUCCAGGAACAUAACAAAAUCAUGUUCCAAUAAAUAGAUACGUUUUAUUUCCGAGAAUUGGAGAUACAAUUCCAAAUUUAUUCUUGGGUCAAAUUAACCCUUAUAUGAACAGCUAGGAUAUUGAGCAUAAUGGAUAUUCGCAUCUACAAUUCCCCUCUUAGAUCAUAUCAUGAUCUACCUUACGGAAUAUUCAUGGGAGGCCUGCGGCAGAGAAACCAAAGGAGGUAUAUUCAGACGUGCUAAUCACGUCUGCGGGACUUUCAUUAUUUCUUCACCUCGAUUUCCCCCAUUUGCUCUGUGCCGUAGGUUUUCCCUUUAAGAGGAGAUCGAGCUGUCGAUUUUCAGCUUUUGUAAUCAUCUGUUGUACACAUCUUUUAAGUGUACAAGUUAAAAAUUUCAAACAGCUGACUUCUUAACCAAUUUUAAACAUACUGCAC